GCCCAGCCCUACACUUUGACAGUACGUUACACCCACUGUCCGCCAGGGUACUACGAGCAUUAGCUUAAAACCCAAAGGACUUGGCGGUGCUUUAGAUCCACCUAGAGGAGCCUGUUCUAGAACCGAUAACCCCCGUUAAACCUCACCCUCUCUUGUUAUUUCCGCCUAUAUACCGCCGUCGUCAGCUUACCCUGUGAAGGAAACAUAGUAAGCAAAAUUAGCAUAGCCCAAAACGCCAGGUCGAGGUGUAGCAUAUGAGAGGGGAAGAAAUGGGCUACAUUCCCUGUCUUUCUGGGAACACGAACAAUGUAAUGAAACAUACAUUAGAAGGAGGAUUUAGCAGUAAGCAUAAAAUAGAGUGUUCUGCUGAAAUUGGCCCUGAAGCGCGC
rnacentral:rRNA from 1 species